rfam:Oryza rufipogon genomic scaffold, chr09
AAAAAGACAAACCCUGGGUUUCCGUGUCCAACGUGUGACUGUCCGUCUUAUAUAAAUUUUUUUAUAAUUAGUAUUUUUAUUGUUGUUAGAUGAUAAAACAUGAUUAAUACUUUAUGCGUGACUUAUCUUUUUAAUUUUUUUUUCAUAAUUUUUUCAAAUAAGACGGACGGUCAAACGUUGGGCACGGAAACACAGGGUUUAUCUUUUU